rnacentral:rRNA from 1 species
UACGUAGGGUGCGAGCGUUGUCCGGAAUUAUUGGGCGUAAAGAGCUCGUAGGCGGUCUGUCACGUCGGAUGUGAAAACUCGGGGCUCAACCCCGAGCCUGCAUUCGAUACGGGCAGACUAGAGUUCGGUAGGGGAGACUGGAAUUCCUGGUGUAGCGGUGAAAUGCGCAGAUAUCAGGAGGAACACCGGUGGCGAAGGCGGUUCUCUGGGCCUUACCUGACGCUGAGGAGCGAAAGCGUGGGGAGCGAACAGG